rnacentral:lncRNA from 1 species
GUUUCAUAAGCUAAUACACAAAGAGUGGUGAGGUUUUCACAUUAUAGCUCUUGGGAUGGGGGAAGCAGAGACUACCGAUCAAAUCCGUUUUUACUAACAGCACCGUUGCACAAUUGUAACGCUAAAUUGGAUUUCAUAAUCCAAUUUUCAUAAACCAAUGGUUUCAUAAAGUAGAAAGUUCAGUGUGGCACAAGGUAAGGCGCUGCUCUUACCCAGCACUUAAAAGGAGCAUAGAAACAAACCCAAUCUUUGCACAGUCCCAGCCAGCCAGCUUCAUAAACUGUUACCUUUAGCCGCUGGAGCGAUACUCUACUUCCUAGAUAAAGUAAAAACAAUAACCUACACAUAGGCCGUGUUUUUAGGCCGGCUCUAGCACCUUCCCUUCCCUUCCCUUCCCUUCCCUUCCCUUCCCUUCCCUUCCCGGCCCCCGGAGGCAGCAGCCGCCCUCGGCGGAAGAUAUUUCUAGACUUGAAGCAAUUUACGUGCAAAAGCCAAUUAGCGCGUCUGCAAACGGACACAUUGAUCUCUGCUUUCUCUCCUUCCUUCCUUCCUUCCCGCCCGGCCCGCUUUCCCGGCCCCCGCCCCCGGGCCCGGGCCGACCCGCCGCCGCCACCAUGCCGCGGGGCCCCCUGGGUACUGUAGUUUUCGGCGGCGGCGCGGCGGAGGAUGCUUUCCCGCUCCUUAAAAUCCCCCUGAAGGAAAACUAAUGGCCGAUCGAGUGCUUGUGAUUGGCAGUGGAGGGAGAGAGCAUGCGCUGGCCUGGAAGUUGGCCCAGUCUCCACAUGUAAAACAUGUGUAUGUUGCUCCAGGAAAUGCAGGAACAGCUGACAAUGGAAAAAUUUCAAAUUCAGGUAAAAAUUAAAAAAUACCUUCUUAAAAUUUGCUAACUCAACAAGUAAGUUGUUCCAUUCAUCAAUCUGUUAAUAUGAAAAGAUUAUUAUUAUUACUA